rnacentral:rRNA from 1 species
AGUGGCGGACGGGUGAGUAACACAUGGGAAUCUGCCUUUUAGUGGGGGAUAACGUAGGGAAACUUACGCUAAUACCGCAUACGCUCUACGGAGGAAAGGGGGGGGAUCGCAAGACCUCUCGCUAAAAGAUGAGCCCAUGUCUGAUUAGCUAGUUGGUGGGGUAAGGGCCUACCAAGGCGACGAUCAGUAGCCGGCCUGAGAGGGUGUACGGCCACACUGGGACUGAGACACGGCCCAGACUCCUACGGGAGGCAGCAGUGGGGAAUAUUGGACAAUGGGCGAAAGCCUGAUCCAGCAAUGCCGCGUGUGUGAAGAAGGCCUUCGGGUUGUAAAGCACUUUAAGUGGGAAAGAAGUGCAUUCAAUUAGUACCUGGAUACAUUGACGUUACCCACAGAAUAAGCACCGGCUAACUCCGUGCCACCAGCCGCGGUAAUACGGAGGGUGCGAGCGUUAAUCGGAAUUACUGGGCGUAGAGCGUAUGUAGGCGGUUUGAUCAUCUCGGAUGUGAAUCCCCGAGCUUAACUUGGGAAUGGCGUCGAUACUGUCUGGCUAUAUUAGUCUACUAGGAAAGGGGAAU